GCAAGUCGAGGGGCAGCAUUUACUUCGGUAAGAUGGCGACCGGCGCACGGGUGAGUAACGCGUAUGCAACCUACCUUAUACUGGGGGAUAGCCCAGAGAAAUCUGGAUUAAUACCGCAUAACAAUCAUGAUUCGCAUGUUUUAUGAUUUAAAACUCCGGUGGUAUAAGAUGGGCAUGCGUAGCAUUAGUUAGUUGGUAAGGUAACGGCUUACCAAGACAAUGAUGCUUAGGGGGUCUGAGAGGAUAGUC
rnacentral:rRNA from 1 species